rnacentral:rRNA from 1 species
GUCCACGCCUAACGAUGCAUACUUGGUGUGAGCCAUUCAUUGGUUCGUGCCGGAGCUAACGCGUUAAGUAUGCCGCCUGGGAGUACGGUCGCAAGGCUGAACUCAAGGAAUUGACGGGCCCGCACAAGCGGUGGAGCAUGUGGUUAAUUCGACGCAACGCGAAGAACCUUACCUGGGCUCGAACGGCUUUGGAACAACGGUAGAAAUACCGUCUUCUCGCAAGAGACCGGAGUCGAGGUGCUGCAUGGCUGUCGU